rnacentral:rRNA from 1 species
CGAAAGCCUGACGGAGCAAGACCGCGUGAGGGAGGAAGGCUCUUGGGUUGUAAACCUCUUUUCUCAGGGAAGAAGCUCUGACGGUACCUGAGGAAUCAGCCUCGGCUAACUCCGUGCCAGCAGCCGCGGUAAUACGGAGGAGGCAAGCGUUAUCCGGAAUUAUUGGGCGUAAAGCGUCCGCAGGUGGUGAGUCAAGUCUGCUGUCAAAGCCAGGAGCUCAACUCCUGUCCGGCAGUGGAAACUGAGUAGCUAGAGAGCGGUAGGGGUAGAGGGAAUUCCCGGUGUAGCGGUGAAAUGCGUAGAUAUCGGGAAGAACACCAGUGGCGAAGGCGCUCUACUGGGCCGCGACUGACGCUGAGGGACGAAAGCUAGGGGAGCG